rnacentral:rRNA from 1 species
GGGAUCUGCCGAAUGGAGGGGGACAACAGUUGGAAACGACUGCUAAUACCGCAUAAUGUCGCGAGACCAAAGCAUGGGACCUUAGGGCCAUGCGCCAUUUGAUGAACCCAUAUGGGAUUAGCUAGUAGGUGAGGUAAUGGCUCACCUAGGCGACGAUCUCUAGCUGGUCUGAGAGGAUGACCAGCCACACUGGGACUGAGACACGGCCCAGACUCCUACGGGAGGCAGCAGUGGGGAAUAUUGCACAAUGGGGGAAACCCUGAUGCAGCCAUGCCGCGUGUAUGAAGAAGGCCUUCGGGUUGUAAAGUACUUUCGGUAGCGAGGAAGGGGUUAUAUCUAAUAGGUGUAACCAUUGACGUUAACUACAGAAGAAGCACCGGCUAACUCCGUGCCAGCAGCCGCGGUAAUACGGAGGGUGCGAGCGUUAAUCGGAAUGACUGGGCGUAAAGGGCAUGUAGGCGGAUAGUUAAGUUAGGUGUGAAAGCCCCGGGCUCAACCUGGGAAUUGCAUUUAAAACUGGUUAUCUGGAGUAUUGUAGAGGAAGGUARAAUUCCAUGUGUAGCGGUGAAAUGCGUAGAGAUGUGGAGGAAUACCGGUGGCGAAGGCGGCCUUCUGGACAAAUACUGACSCUGARAUGCGAAAGCGUGGGGAGCAAACAGGAUUA